rnacentral:rRNA from 1 species
CCUGAAACCAGCCAUGCCGCGUGCAGGAUGACUGCCCUAUGGGUUGUAAACUGCUUUUGUCCAGGAAUAAACCCUAUAUACGAGUAGAUAGCUGAAUGUACUGGAAGAAUAAGGAUCGGCUAACUCCGUGCCAGCAGCCGCGGUAAUACGGAGGAUCCGAGCGUUAUCCGGAUUUAUUGGGUUUAAAGGGUGCGUAGGCGGCCUAUUAAGUCAGGGGUGAAAUACGGUGGCUCAACCAUCGCAGUGCCUUUGAUACUGAUGGGCUUGAAUCCAUUUGAAGUGGGCGGAAUAAGACAAGUAGCGGUGAAAUGCAUAGAUAUGUCUUAGAACUCCGAUUGCGAAGGCAGCUCACUAAGCUGGUAUUGACGCUGAUGCACGAAAGCGUGGGGAUCGAACAGGAUUAGAUACCCUGGUAGUCCACGCCCUAAACGAUGAUAACUCGAUGUUGGCGAUAGACAGCCAGCGUCCCAGCGAAAGCGUUAAGUUAUCCACCUGGGGAGUACGCCCGCAAGGGUGAAACUCAAAGGAAUUGACGGGGGCCCGCACAAGCGGAGGAGCAUGUGGUUUAAUUCGAUGAUACGCGAGGAACCUUACCCGGGCUUGAAAGUUAGUGAAGGGUGCAGAGACGCACCCGUCCUUCGGGACACGAAACUAGGUGCUGCAUGGCUGUCGUCAGCUCGUGCCGUGAGGUGUUGGGUUAAGUCCCGCAACGAGCGCAACCCCUAUGUUUAGUUGCCAGCAUUUAAGGUGGGGACUCUAAACAGACUGCCUGUGCAAACAGUGAGGAAGGUGGGGACGACGUCAAGUCAUCAUGGCCCUUACGUCCGGGGCUACACACGUGCUACAAUGGAUGGUACAGCGGGCAGCUACAUAGCAAUAUGAUGCUAAUCUCUAAAAGCCAUUCACAGUUCGGAUUGGGGUCUGCAACUCGACCCCAUGAAGUUGGAUUCGCUAGUAAUCGCGUAUCAGCAAUGACGCGGUGAAUACGUUCCCGGGCCUUGUACACACCGCCCGUCAAGCCAUGAAAGUUGGGGGUACCUAAAGCAUGUUACCGCGAGGAGCGUUCAGGUAAGCCCGAGU